rnacentral:tRNA from 1 species
AUGUAGCCAAGUGGAUCAAGGCAGUGGAUUU